GAGGAAGGAACCCUGUCGCCGAUCGCCAUCGAGCUCACCCGCCCGGCUUCCGCGACGGCGCCCCAGUGGAAGCAGGUGUUCACGCACACUUCGGACGCCACCGGCGCGUGGCUGUGGAGGCUUGCCAAGGCCCAUGUCUGCGCUCACGACGCGGGCUACCACCAGCUCAUCAUUCACUGGUAAAAGAUCAUCUCGCGCGUCGUUAUAAUCAGAAUGGUCGAACCUUGGAUAUCGAAUGGUUUCUUCGCUGAUCAUCGAUGAAUGUGGUGAAGGUUGAGGACGCAUGCCUGCACCGAGCCUUACAUCAUCGCGACCAACAGGCAGCUCAGCGCUGUGCACCCGA
rnacentral:lncRNA from 1 species